rnacentral:rRNA from 1 species
GAUGAACGCUGGCGGCGUGCCUAAUACAUGCAGGUCGAGCGAACAGACGAGGAGCUUGCUCCUCUGACGUUAGCGGCGGACGGGUGAGUAACACGUGGAUAACCUACCUAUAAGACUGGGAUAACUUCGGGAAACCGGAGCUAAUACCGGAUAAUAUAUUGAACCGCAUGGUUCAAUAGUGAAAGACGGUUUUGCUGUCACUUAUAGAUGGAUCCGCGCCGCAUUAGCUAGUUGGUAAGGUAACGGCUUACCAAGGCAACGAUGCGUAGCCGACCUGAGAGGGUGAUCGGCCACACUGGAACUGAGACACGGUCCAGACUCCUACGGGAGGCAUCAUUAGGGAAUCUUCCGCAAUGGGCGAAAGCCUGACGGAGCAACGCCGCGUGAGUGAUGAAGGUCUUCGGAUCGUAAAACUCUGUUAUUAGGGAAGAACAAAUGUGUAAGUAACUAUGCACGUCUUGACGGUACCUAAUCAGAAAGCCACGGCUAACUACGUG